CAACUGCUCUUCCUCGCAAACACUGCUAACGUUGCUUCAUCCCACUUAUGCAACAGCAAAUCAGGAGCUCAAAAAUGUGGAUUAUUAAAAUGGACAAUGUGACGACUCUUCUUUGUCUACAAAUCGUCCUAUAUGGGACCCUCCGCCAGGACACGGGGCUCUGGGGAGAGAUGAGGCCAAAACACCGACCCUCCACCAGGACACGGGGCUCAGUGGACAGACGAGACCAAAACACCGACCCUCCGCCAGGACACGGGGCUCAGGGGAGAGACGAGACAAAACACCGACCAUCCGCCAGGACACGGGGCUCAGGGGAGAGACGAGACAAAACACCGACCAUCUGCCAGGACACGGGGCUCAGUGGAUAGACGAGACCAAAACACCGACCCUCCGCCAGGACACGGGGCUCAGGGGAGAGACGAGACAAAACACCGACCAUCCGCCAGGACACGGGGCUCAGGGGAGAGACGAGACAAAACACCGACCAUCCGCCAGGACACGGGGCUCAGGGGAGAGACGAGACAAAACACCGACCAUCCGCCAGGACACGGGGCUCAGGGGAGAGACGAGACAAAACACCGACCCUCCGCCAGGACACGGGGCUCAGGGGAGAGACGAGACAAAACACCGACCAUCCGCCAGGACACGGGGCUCAGGGGAGAGACGAGACAAAACACCGACCCUCCUCUAGGACACGGGGCUCAGGGGAGAGACGAGACAAAACACCGACCCUCCACCAGGACAUGGGGCUCAGGGGAGAGACGAGACAAAACACCGACCCUCCACCAGGACACGGGGCUCAGGGGAGAGACGAGACAAAACACCGACCAUCCGCCAGGACACGGGGCUCAGGGGAGAGACGAGACAAAACACCGACCCUCCUCUAGGACACGGGGCUCAGGGGAGAGUCGAGACAAAACACCGACCCUCCGCCAGAACAUGGGGCUCAGGAGAGAGAUGAGGCUGUCGUAUAAGCAUAGGGUCCGAGAGGGUUUAUAGGGUAAAAGCACCUCUGAAAGAUAAGAAGGCCCAAGAUCAUUUAAACAUUUAAAAAACAGUAAAGGC
ensembl:lncRNA